rnacentral:rRNA from 1 species
UACAGAGGGUGCAAACGUUGUUCGGAAUUACUGGGCGUAAAGGGCGCGUAGGCGGCCAUUUAAGUUAGACGUGAAAGCCCUGGGCUUAACCUAGGAACUGCGUUUAAUACUGGAUGGCUAGAGUAUGGUAGAGGAAAGCGGAAUUCCUAGUGUAGAGGUGAAAUUCGUAGAUAUUAGGAAGAACACCAGAGGCGAAGGCGGCUUUCUGGACCAUUACUGACGCUGAGGCGCGAAAGCGUGGGGAGCAAACAGG